UAGCUCAGUGGUAGAGCACUUGCCUAGCAUGUGUGAGACCCUGGGUUCAAUUCCCAG
rnacentral:tRNA from 1 species